AAUCCCGACCAUCUCCAUGGAUGGAAGCCAGGCUGGAGGAACAAACUGAGGACCCUCGGAUGCCUCCAAAUCUGCCUGGAAGAGAGCGUGCUUGCCCAGCGCCGCAGACUUUCUUGCCAUUUCCAGGAUGACAUUCUGGAAGAUGCAGUUGCUGAGGACAACUAACCGGCUAGAUGGGAGCUGUUUACAUCACUAGGAAUAAGGUCGGCAACGCAAUGGUGUGUCAGGGCGACUCUCCUAUUGGUGCAUUUGAUGCAGCCACGCAAUGCUCCCAUUGGUACUUCCAGGUUACGGAGCCUCGGGUAGUUCCAAACAUGGCUUCGACGAGAGCGGACCGCAUUCAUACGAAUGGCUGGCUGUAAAGUAUAUUUGAAGUCAUGACCCAGGACACGCUGGAGAGACUAUGUCUCUCGGCUGGCCUGGGAACGCCUUGGGACCCCGCCGGAGGAGCUGGAUGAAGUGGCUGGGGAGAAGGAAGUCUGGCCUUCCCUGUUAAAGCUGCUGCCCCCGCGGACCGACCCCGGAGCAAGCGGAAGGUGAUGGAUGGAUGGACAUCAUACUGCUGGUGGUGCCUGCUGAUGGUGACUGCUGGCUGUGUGCACUAAGCCCAUUAUUAAAUAGCUACAAACAAACAAACAAACAAAAACCUUUUUUUUCAUGUUUUGAUGACUGACCAUUGCCAUCCAUUUUUUUCUGCUGCUCUUGGUCCUUGGGGAAACCAUGCUGCACAACCAACCAUCACAGGCCACUGAUCUAUAAAAUGUUAUGUGUAAACAAUGAACCAUGACACCAAUUUCACCAAUUGUUCAAUAAAUAUUGUGAUUUUCUUUAUCAAAGGUAAUAAGU